UUGGGCGUGAGAGCUCGUACGCGGUUUGUCGCGUCUGCUGUGAAAUCCCGAGGCUCAACCUCGGGCCUGCAGUGGGUACGGGCCGACUACAGUGCGGUAGGGGAGAUAGGAAUUCCUGGUGUAGCGGUGGAAUGCGCAGAUAUCAGGAGGAACACCGAUGGCGAAGGCAGAUCUCUGGGCCGUAACUGACGCUGAGGAGCGAAAGGGUGGGGAGCAAACAGGCUUAGAUACCCUGGUAGUCCACCCCGUAAACGUUGGGAACUAGUUGUGGGGACCAUUCCACGGUUUCCGUGACGCAGCUAACGCAUUAAGUUCCCCGCCUGGGGAGUACGGCCGCAAGGCUAAAACUCAAAGGAAUUGACGGGGACCCGCACAAGCGGCGGAGCAUGCGGAUUAAUUCGAUGCAACGCGAAGAACCUUACCAAGGCUUGACAUAUACGAGAACGGGCCAGAAAUGGUCAACUCUUUGGACACUCGUAAACAGGUGGUGCAUGGUUGUCGUCAGCUCGUGUCGUGAGAUGUUGGGUUAAGUCCCGCAACGAGCGCAACCCUCGUUCUAUGUUGCCAGCACGUAAUGGUGGGAACUCAUGGGAUACUGCCGGGGUCAACUCGGAGGAAGGUGGGGAUGACGUCAAAUCAUCAUGCCCCUUAUGUCUUGGGCUUCACGCAUGCUACAAUGGCCGGUACAAAGGGCUGCAAUACCGUGAGGUGGAGCGAAUCCCAAAAAGCCGGUCCCAGUUCGGAUUGAGGUCUGCAACUCGACCUCAUGAAGUCGGAGUCGCUAGUAAUCGCAGAUCAGCAACGCUGCGGUGAAUACGUUCCCGGGUCUUGUACACACCGCCCGUCAAGUCAUGAAAGUCGGUAACACCUGAAGCCGGUGGCCCACCCUU
rnacentral:rRNA from 2 species